rnacentral:rRNA from 1 species
GGACGGGUGAGUAAUGUCUGGGAAACUGCCUGAUGGAGGGGGAUAACUACUGGAAACGGUAGCUAAUACCGCAUAACGUCGCAAGACCAAAGAGGGGGACCUUCGGGCCUCUUGCCAUCAGAUGUGCCCAGAUGGGAUUAGCUAGUAGGUGGGGUAAUGGCUCACCUAGGCGACGAUCCCUAGCUGGUCUGAGAGGAUGACCAGCCACACUGGAACUGAGACACGGUCCAGACUCCUACGGGAGGCAGCAGUGGGGAAUAUUGCACAAUGGGCGCAAGCCUGAUGCAGCCAUGCCGCGUGUGUGAAGAAGGCCUUCGGGUUGUAAAGCACUUUCAGCGAGGAGGAAGGUGGUGAGCUUAAUACGCUCAUCAAUUGACGUUACUCGCAGAAGAAGCACCGGCUAACUCCGUGCCAGCAGCCGCGGUAAUACGGAGGGUGCAAGCGUUAAUCGGAAUUACUGGGCGUAAAGCGCACGCAGGCGGUUUGUUAAGUCAGAUGUGAAAUCCCCGGGCUCAACCUGGGAACU